rnacentral:rRNA from 1 species
CGGAGGAAAAGAAACUAACCAGGAUUCCCUUAGUAGCGGCGAGCGAACAGGGAUGAGCCCAAUAUGAAAAGCCUUUCGAGGCCUUGUAGUGAGCGUCCUUGAGGUGUCAGUUCAGGAAAGUGUGCAUGAAAGUGCCCGCCGCGGAGGGUUAAAGCCCCGUCCAUCCUGGACACGACAUUCUCGUACACGGACGUUUCAAAAGAGUCGGGUACCUUGAGAAUGGUGCCCUAAGCGGUGAUAAAUCUCAUCGAAGGCUAAAUACUGGGGGGAGACCGAUAGUGAACAAGUACCGUGAGGGAAAGUUGACAAGCACUUUGAAAAGAGGGUGAAAAGAACCUGAAAUUGUUACGUGGAAAGCGUAUUGCGUCUAAAUAAUUGUGCGGGUCUGCUCAGCGUUUUUAACGUGCAUUCAGUACCUUAGCACACGACCCGUCGCGCGUUCUGAUCGACUUUUACAGUUGUGAGGGGCGGGGGGAUCCCUUUUUUAAAGGUGAGGGCGAUGGGAGAUCGACGCGAUGCGACCCGUCUUGAAACACGGACCAAGGAGUCUAGCGUAGCUGCGAGUCAAAGGGUUUUGAAACCUGAGGGCGCAGUGAAAGCAAUUGAAAACUUUGCAGUUUGAGGCGGCAUAUGCUCGUUGAGCGUAGGUCCGACCUAGAGCAGUUAUGCUAGGACCCGAAAGAUGGUGAACUAUGCCGGAGUAGGGUGAAGCCAGAGGAAACUCUGGUGGAGGCUCGUAGCGGUGCUGACGUGCAAAUCGCUCGUCGAACUCGGGUAUAGGGGCGAAAGACUAAUCGAACCAUCUAGUAGCUGGUUUCCUCCGAAGUUUCUCUCAGGAUAGCGGUCCGGUGAGGUGUUGUUAUUUGCGGUAAAGCGAAUGAUUAGCGUAUUUGAGGUUAUUAUGACUUUGGACGAUUCUCAAACUUUAAAUGCGAAUGGAUGUUGCCGCUUGGUUGGGCGGCAUCGUCAAAAACACCGGACUUGUGGGCCACUUUUGGUAAGCAGAACUGGCGAUACGGGAUGAACCGUAAAUGUUGUUAAGGCGCCUAAUUGUCCGCUUAUAGAACCCAAAAAAGGUGUUGAUUCAUAUAGACAGCAGGACAGUGGCCAUGGAAGUUGGAAUCUGCUAAGGAGUGUGUAACAACUCACCUGCCGAAUGAAUUAGCCCUGAAAAUGGAUGGCGCUCAAGCGGGUGGCCGACACAAUGUCGUUUGAUCAAAGUGGAUAUCAGAUGAGUAGGAGGACGUGGCGGUUGUAUAGAAGCGUGGGUGCAAACCUGCGUGGAACGUCCGCUAGUGCAGAUCUUGGUGGUAGUAGCAAAUAUUCAAAUGAGAAUCUUGAAGGGUGAAGCGGGGAAGGGUUUCACGCGAACAUUGAUUGAGUGUGAGUGAGUCGUCCCUAAGUCGAAUGGCAAUAGCUAACUAUUGUACGAAAGGGAAGCAGGUUGAUAUUCCUGCACGUGCAUGUAGAUGCGGUGACGCAUUUCUGGGAUAGUGACGUCGGCGAUGGACUUGGGCAGAGUUUUCUUUUCUGUUUGACCGUACCACUGCGCUCUCUGGAAUCCGCUUGUCGGGAGAAAGAGGCGUGUUUGGGCAGAGCGCCGGGAUUUUUCCGGCGUCCAAGUCUCCAUCGACGGCCCUUGAAAAACUAUCUGCUGGCCAUUUCUUUUUUGUGAAUGGUGUGAAAAUUCUACGGCGCAACGUACCUAUAUCCGCAUCAGGUCCCCAAGGUGAACAGCCUCUGCUCUAUAUGAACAAUGCAGGUAAGGGAAGUCGGCAAAUUAGACCCGUAACUUUGGGAAAAGGGUUGGCUCUAGUGCUGCGUGGGACCGUUGUUUCUGUGUGGCCUUUUUCUUGGUGAACUGGCCGCGGCGUGGGGCAACCUGUGCUGUUUCUGAGAAUCUGGGGGAUAAGUCGCUGGGGACGACGCCCACAGCAUGCAGCAAACUAGAACUGCAACGGGCAAAGGGAAUCCGACUGUUUAAUUUAAAACAAACAUUGCGAAGGCCAUGGAUGGGUGUUUACGCAAU